ACCACAUGGGCGGGGCUUGCACAAUGAGGAGACCUGACCCUCCACUCAACUCCUACAGGGACUUUGAGACCUAAUGUGUGUCCCCCCUCUUCUGAGGACUGGGAGCUGUUCCAGAAGCUCCAGCCUCUGGUUGAAGAGGCCACUCAUGCCCUGAAUAUCUUGGAGGCCCAUCCUCUUGGUUGCAGGCUUGGGCCUCCUUCCCUGGAGGACAAGCAGUCCCAGACACAUCUCUGGAGAAGAGGUCCUACGUGGGAAUGAGCCUGGUGUGUGUGACGAUGGGCUAGCAGCCAGGGUUAAGGCUGACAAUGGAGUUGGGAGUCUGGGGGACAUGGGCAGCCAGACAUCAUGUGCUCUAGGACCCCAUCCACACUGACCCCAAGGCUUUGACAGCCCUGGGUUGGGGCAGGAUAGUGUGGAGCACGUGAGAAACAGGGGCUUCAGGGAGCCAGGUGAAGAGGUAGGGCACCCUUGAAAGAUUUCCAGCAGUCAUAAAGAUCAAUUAUUUCUGGAGCCCCGAUACUUGCAAAGCCCAGAGCUGUUGGGAACCACAGGCCACAGAUGCUGUUUUAAACACCCUGAUUUCAUAUCAGACUCCCUGGUACCAAGUCCUUUUCUUAAGUCUUUUAUAAUUAUGGAAAAUGUCCAUAACAUAAAAUUGACUAUUAACCAUUUUAGAUCCACAGUUCCAUGACAUUAAAUACAUUCACAUUGUCCUGCAAAGAGCACCAGCUAUCUCCAGAACAUUCAUUCCCAUCUUCCUAAACUGAAAUCUGUCCCCAUUAAACACCGACAUCCCCUCCCCCUACCCAGCCCCUGGUACCCACCAUUCUCCUUACAGUCUGUGGGAUCUUAUGCAUCUAGGGACCUCCUAUGCGUGGAAUCAUGCCAUAUUUGUUCUCUUGUGACUGGUUUAUUUCACUGAGCAUGAGGUCAUCGAGGUCAUCCUGUUGUGGCCUGUGUCUGAAUUUUGAACUUCCUUCCUUUUUAAGACUGAAUCUUUGUGUGAAUAUACCACAUAGAGUUCUCUAUUUAUCCAUUUGAGUUGCUUCUACUUUUAUUUUUUUUUCUUAUACUGGGGAUUAAGCUCAAGAAUGCUCUGCCAAUGAGCUAUACCCCAGCCCUUUAUAUUUCUUAUUUUGAGACAGGCUCUCAGGCUAGGCAUGGUAGCACACGCCUGUAGUAAUCCCAGUGGCUCGGGAGGCUGAGGCAGGAGGAUCAGGAGUUCAAAGCCAGCCUCAGCAACAGUGAGGCACUAAGCAAC
rnacentral:lncRNA from 1 species